ensembl:ncRNA T13H10.14 ncRNA
AGGAUAGGUUCUAAAGAGAUCAGACGACGCAGACACAAAUCAGAUGAAGCAAGAAAAAAGAAAGUGAUCUGGGGGAGCACUACUGGCCAGUGGUCCUGGAAAAAAGAUGUUUCUUCUCUUCAGGAGCGCUUGCAGUAGUUGCUCUCGUGUGCCCCCGCGGUGCUCUUCAUGUCGUGAACCAAGAUCUAUACGAUUUUACAAUUUCGACUUGUCUGGUUGUCAGGUU